rnacentral:rRNA from 1 species
CCUACGGGUGGCAGCAGUGAGGAAUAUUGGUCAAUGGACGCAAGUCUGAACCAGCCAAGCCGCGUGCAGGAAGACGGCUCUAAGAGUUGUAAACUGCUUUUGUCAGAGGGUAAACGCAGAUACGCGUAUCUGGCUGAAAGUAUCGUAAGAAUAAGGAUCGGCUAACUCCGUGCCAGCAGCCGCGGUAAUACGGAGGAUUCAAGCGUUAUCCGGAUUUACUGGGUUUAAAGGGUGCGUCGGCGGUCGGAUAAGUUAGAGGUGAAAUCCCGAGGCUCAACUUCGGAAUUGCCUCUGAUACUGUUCGGCUAGAGAGUAGUUGCGGUAGGCGGAAUGUAUGGUGUAGCGGUGAAAUGCUUAGAGAUCAUACAGAACACCGAUUGCGAAGGCAGCUUACCAAGCUACUUCUGACGUUGAGGCACGAAAGCGUGGGGAGCAAACAGGAUUAGAUACCCCUGUAGUC